UAGCCUAGGACAACAACAACUAAAAUCGUGUACUGUAUGAUAGAGUCAUAGACCGUGUAUGACACAUGAAAGAGGAUGGCAUUGGAUGGCAUUGGACUAAAUCAUUUUCGGAACUGUUUAGUUGUCACUGUAUUAGACUAAGCAGAGGUGAUUUGAUGAUGUUGAAAUGUUAAAGUGUAAAUGGUGCUGGAAUAGUGGAGGCAGAUCCUGUUUUCUUUGUGACUUGCGGUAUCUCUGUGGUUCUAAAUCAAUAGUUGUUUAGUAGUCAGAAAAUGUCAGAAACAUUACCUUGCAUUACCCCAUGCUGUAGGUCAUGUAACUGUUUGUUACAUGUAAUAUGUUGUGUGGACUUCACAGGACAGAUGUUGCUCUCUGGUUUUGUGAUGAAACAAUGGUGACAAAUUUCUUCUGCCGCAGUGUCUUCUUACUGUCUCGGCCUUUAGGCUUAUAUAUCACGUUCGCAAGGCAUAUAAACUAACAGGUUAUAGAGCAAACAACGCAAUUAUCACAAUACAUUUUUUUCUGGAUUGGCUUCCCCAGAGAUUUUACCCAGAACCCACUACUGCUAACAGGGCCGCCUGGACGACAGACCCCCACCAGUCUAGUACAUAACUCAACUCACUCCCUGACCCCUACCAGUCUAGUAUAUAACUCAACUCUCUCCCCGACCCCUACCAGUCUAGUACAUAACUCAACUCACUCCCCGACCCCUACCAGUCUAGUAUAUAACUCAACUCACUCCCCGACCCCUACCAGUCUAGUAUAUAACUCAACUCACUCCCCGACCCCUACCAGUCUAGUACAUAACUCAACUCACUGUCCAACCCGUAGCAGUCUAGUACAUAACUCAUCUCACUCCCUGACCCCCACCAGUCUAGUACAUAACUCAACUCACUCCCCGACCCCCACCAGUCUAGUACAUAACUCAACUCUCUCCCUGACCCCCACCAGUCUAGUACAUAACUCAACUCUCUCCCUGACCCCCACCAGUCUAGUACAUAACUCAACUCUCUCACUGACCCCCACCAGUCUAGUACAUAACUCAACUCUCUCCCCGACCCCCACCAGUCUAGUACAUAACUCAACUCUCUCCCUGACCCCCACCAGUCCAGUACAUAACUCAACUCUCUAUCUGACCCCCACCAGUCUAGUAUAUAACUCAACUCUCUCCCUGACCCCCACCAGUCUAGUACAUAACUCAACUCACUCCCUGACCCCUACCAGUCUAGUACAUAACUCAACUCACUCCCCAACCUCCACCAGUCCAGUGGUGUAAAGUACUUAAGUAAAAUUAAUUUAAAGUACUUCUUAAGUCGUUUUUUGGGGUAUCUGUACUUUACUAUGCAUAUUUUUGCCAACUUUUACUUUUACUUCACUACCUUCCUGAAGUACUUUUUACUCCAUACAUUUUUCUUGACUGCCAAAAGUAUUCGUUACAUUUUUAAAGGAAAAUGGUCUAAUUCACACACUUAUCAAGAUAACAUCUCUGGUCAUCCCUUAUGCCUCUGAUCUGGCAGAACACAAACACUCACUAAACACAAAUGCUUAAUUUGUAAAUUAUGUCUGAGUGUUGGAGCUUGCACCGGGCUGUCAAAUUUCUUUUUAACUAGAAAAUUGUGACGUCUGCUUUGCUUAAAAUUAAGAUUUUGAAAUGGUUUAUACUUUUACAUUUGAUACUUAAGUUCAUUUUAACAAUUCCAUUUACUUUUGAUACUUAAUAAGUAUAUUUAAAUCCAAAUACUUUUAGACUUUAAAUCAAGUAAUAUUUUACUGUGUCAUUUUCUAUUAAGGUAUCUUUACUUUUACUGAAGUAUGACAAUUGAGUACUUUCUCCACUGCUGCACGAGUCUUAACUCAACUCUUUCCCCGACCCCCACCUGUCUAGUACAUAACUCAACUCUCUCCCUGACCCCCACCAGUCUAGAACAUAACUCAAUUCUCUCUCCAACACAAUUUCCUUCCCACCUUUUAUUGAUGUUUUUAUCCCAAGAGAAAGGUUUGGAAACACCUACACAUACAUUAACACAAACAACACAAUUAAUCUCAUAUGACCUAGUAGUACUGUAGAGCUCUUAACUUCCACACAAUAUAGCUGGGUCUCCCUGUCCUGUCCCUAUGUGUCCACUGCCCUGCCGUACCCCAACCCAACACAUCCCACUCAGCUUUAGGGUUUUAGUGAAGCAUUCAUUAUUGGUUUCAGGUGUGUUAGGUCAAGGCCAGAGGGACAAUCCACAGGACAGCAGACCACCAGGGCAGGACUGAACAACCCAACAGCUAUUGAAAACAUGAAGUGGGCAUGUUUUAAAUAGAGACUCCUUUUGUUGCACAGUAUUCCAUAUAAGGCAUCCAGACAUUAUUAAAGUUGUCUAAUAUACCCUUUUAUUAUAGGACACAUUAUGUGAAGCGUUGCUGCCCUUUGAGCAGUUUCCUGAGUUUUUCAAAACAGAUCAGUCUGCUGUGUAGCAUGGUGCGUACUGGCGGCAGAGAAGUCUGGCGCAGGAGAGCGAAAACUGAUUUACAACGGUGUUUGUUUAAAACAAAUCAACUUGAUUUUCUGGGUAAGAAAAAUGAACUAAAAACAAGUAAAUACGUUUUCUGGGUAAGAAAAAUUAACUAAUGUCACGUCCUGACCAGUGUAAGAGGUCAUUUUCUAUAGUAGAGGGGUCAGGGCGUGCCAGGGGGUGUUUGGUUGACAGUCUGGGUUGUUAUUUCUAUGUUUUGGGUUCUAGGUUUUCUGUUUCUAUGUCGGGUUUUGUUUGGGUUGAUCUCCAAUUGGAGGCAGCUGCUUCUUAUUGCUUCUGAUUGGAGACCAUAUUUAUGUAGGGGGUUUUCCAAUUGUAUGCCGUGGGUUGUUAAUUUUGUGAGUAGUGAAUGCCUGCUCUGCGUCACGGCUUUAUUGUUUUCGUAUUUUCAAGUUUAUUGUAUAUGGCAUUUAUUUUCACGAUGAAAUAAAAGAUGUGGAACUACGAUCAUGCUGCGUAUUGGUCCGAUCCUUCUGAAAGCCCAGACAACUAAAAACAAGUAAAUACGUUUUCUGGGUAAGUGAGAGUGACUCAAAACAAGUAAAUAUGUUUUCUGGGUAAGUGAGAAUGACUCAAAACAAGUAAAUAUGUUUUCUGGGUAAGUGAAAGUGACUCAAUACAAGUAAAUAUGUUUUCUGGGUAAGUGAGAGUGACUCAAAACAAGUCAUUUUAACUUUGUAACUCUAGGAAAUAUGUAAUUUUUUUUGCAUUGUGGCAACUCUUAUUACCUGAAUUCUGUGUCUUCACCUCCUCCAGUUGACUUUGCGUGACAGCCUCACUCUUUUCCACUCUUUUUCCACUCUCUGUUCCACCACCAUGUCUCUCAGCGCUCUCAGCUCAGCCCAGAGGUCCGGCUCAGAGUCUCUCUGUCCAUCUGUCUUUCCGUCUGCUGGUGUUUUGACCUCGAAUUCUGUCUUGAAAUCUACAGCUUUAGCUUUAGUGACCUCUACACCUUGACCUUUGGUGACCCCUACCCCAGACAGACAGAGGAGCAACAGCAGAGGAACGACAGAGACAGACUUCUGCAUCUUCAUAUCACAAUCACAGCUUGCUAAUGGAACUGGAGGUUUGAAUAUUGCUUACUCUUAUAUACACACUGAUUCAGAAAUCACCCAUCCCCCUAGUCAUGUUGCAACAGUAACCUAGUCAAGCCUCACUCCUCCUCCUCACCCCUCACGACUUGGUUGCUUCCCACUUAAUGAAUCAUCCCACAUUUCAUCAGGAUCUUUGGGUAAAUAAAACUCCUGUUCACUUCUCAAUCACUGGGAUGACACACAUGAUCAAAACCAGUUCAGACCAAGGAGUGGUCCAGAAUAAGGGGAGGGGUCUGAGGAGGAGGAAUAACAAAGUUCUGAAUAUGUAUUUCUGGACACGUAGCUGAGGACACUCAUGGUGGUGUUUACCAAUGAACUGAUAGUGAACGGACGUCUCUAUUUGUUUAACUGAGAGUGAGGAGUGAGUGGGGUGCAGGAACAGGGUCAAGUUAAGUAAACUGAAUCUCUGGUCAACAUGGCACUCUAUUCCCUACAUAGUGCACUACUUCUAGAAACAGUGACUUAUAUAAGGAAUAGGGCUCCAUUGUGGGCGCACCCAGACAGUCAUGUUGAUGGGAACUGGUUGGAUCAGGGCC
rnacentral:lncRNA from 1 species